rnacentral:rRNA from 1 species
GACGAACGCUGGCGGCGUGCUUAACACAUGCAAGUCGAACGGUGAAGCGCCUUCCUUUUUGGUGGGUGUGGAUGAGUGGCGAACGGGUGGGUAACACGUGAGUAACCUGCCCCCUUCUUCUGGAUAACCGCAUGAAAGUGUGGCUAAUACGGGAUAUUCUGGGUCUGUCGCAUGAUGGGUCUGGGAAAGAUAUUGUUUCGGUGGGGGAUGGGCUCGCGGCCUAUCAGCUUGUUGGUGGGGUGAUGGCCUACCAAGGCGGUGACGGGUAGCCGGCCUGAGAGGGUGGACGGUCACACUGGGACUGAGACACGGCCCAGACUCCUACGGGAGGCAGCAGUGGGGAAUAUUGCACAAUGGGCGCAAGCCUGAUGCAGCGACGCCGCGUGAGGGAUGGAGGCCUGCGGGUUGUGAACCUCUUUCGCCAGUGAAGCAGGCCUGCCUCGUUUGUGGGUGGGUUGACGGUAGCUGGAUAAGAAGCGCCGGCUAACUACGUG